rnacentral:lncRNA from 1 species
AUUUUUUAGUCCUUAAAUAGUUGUUAUGAUAUUGCAUCCUGUGUAUUUUUCAGCUUCAUUUAAGUUUUUAUUAUCAGUUCAGUCCCAGCCCUUAAUCAAGUCUGUCCAUCUGCUCAUCCUUCCUUCAGGAGAUUUUUAUUAAGUAAAUGAAAGGUGUCAUCUAAACACCGAGGGGGUUGUAAGUGAGUAAAGCAUGGGUCCUUAGAAGCAUACCUUCUAGCAGGAAACUGUCUAAAGAUAGGGUGGUUACAUUAACUUCUAAAGUCCUGUUUGAAGUUGAAGACUGAAUUUGUUAUCUCCAGGAAAGUCUCUGUUUCUAGCUAUCCUGAAUAGUCAAAAAAAUCUUGCAGCACUGAACCUAAAUUCCCUCUUGGUUUAAUUAUCCAGAGUUAAGUAACAACAGCCCACCC